ensembl:lncRNA PRR7-AS1 PRR7 antisense RNA 1
GAGGACAGCUCAGGGAAGCUUCUUGGGAAAUGAAUUCUGGGAGUUCCCUCUGCCAAGGACCCACUGUGUUAAGAGCUUUAAGGUGAAUGUCCACUUCGAGGCCGGCUCAACCACCGUCUUCAGAGAACUCUCCCACACUGGCCACAGCCUAUCUGCCAGCGUCACCCACUGUCUAGGUCUUUGCCCAUAAUGUGUCAAGGGCAAAACAGAGGGGUGGAUAUGAUGCACGUGCCUCAGCCCGGGGCCCGUACAUGGCUGGCGUCCAGGUAACGCAGGCCUGGGGCAGACAUUCCUUACACAGCUCCCACCCUACUCUUACGUCCACAUUUAGGCAGCCAGGCCACCUUAGCCUUGGAGGGGAGGACACCAACGGGGCCCGCCUUACCAGCAGUCAGAAACAGACCCACAUCCCAGUGGGUACCCAAGGCUUCUUUCCUUAGGCCCCAUCCCAUUUAGGAAGUUGGGAAACCCACUGGGUGAGCCCAAAGGCUACCAAAGCCUG